rnacentral:rRNA from 1 species
AGUGAACGCUGGCGGUAGGCCUAACACAUGCAAGUCGAACGGCAGCACAGUAAGAGCUUGCUCUUACGGGUGGCGAGUGGCGGACGGGUGAGGAAUACAUCGGACUCUACUUUUUCGUGGGGGAUAACGUAGGGAAACUUACGCUAAUACCGCAUACGACCUACGGGUGAAAGCAGGGGAUCUUCGGACCUUGCGCGAUUGAAUGAGCCGAUGUCGGAUUAGCUAGUUGGCGGGGUAAAGGCCCACCAAGGCGACGAUCCGUAGCUGGUCUGAGAGGAUGGUCAGCCACACUGGAACUGAGACACGGUCCAGACUCCUACGGGAGGCAGCAGUGGGGAAUAUUGGACAAUGGGCGCAAGCCUGAUCCAGCCAUACCGCGUGGGUGAAGAAGGCCUUCGGGUUGUAAAGCCCUUUUGUUGGGAAAGAAAAGCAGCAGGUUAAUACCCCGCUGUUCUGACGGUACCCAGAGAAGAAGCACCGGCUAACUUCGUG